rnacentral:rRNA from 1 species
UACCAGCACCCCGAGUGGUCGGGACGUUUAUUGGGCCUAAAGCAUCCGUAGCCGGUUCUACAAGUCUUCCGUUAAAUCCACCGGCUCAACAGAUGGGCUGCGGAAGAUACUAUGGAGCUAGGAGGCGGGAGAGGCAAGCGGUACUCGAUGAGUAGGGGUAAAAUCCGUUGAUCCAUUGAAGACCACCAGUGGCGAAGGCGGCUUGCCAGAACGCGCUCGACGGUGAGGGAUGAAAGCUGGGGGAGCAAACCGG